GUGAGGAAUUUUCCGCAAUGGGCGAAAGCCUGACGGAGCAAUGCCGCGUGAAGGAUGAAGGCCUAUGGGUUGUAAACUUCUUUUCUCAGAAAAGAAUUAUGACGGUAUCUGAGGAAUAAGCAUCGGCUAACUCUGUGCCAGCAGCCGCGGUAAGACAGAGGAUGCAAGCGUUAUCCGGAAUGAUUGGGCGUAAAGCGUCUGUAGGUUGUUUAAAAAGUAUUCUGUCAAAGAUUAGGGCUUAACCCUAGAUAGGCAGAAUAAACUUUUAAGCUAGAGUUUGGUAGAGGCAGAGGGAAUUCCCGGUGGAGCGGUGAAAUGCGUAGAUAUCGGGAGGAACACCAAAGGCGAAGGCACUCUGCUGGGCCAAUACUAACACUGAGAGACGAAAGCGAGGGGAGCAAAUGGGAUUAGAUACCCGUGUAGUCC
rnacentral:rRNA from 1 species